CUCUUUUCUCCUGACUUAAACUGAGUUCCUGACAUUUUCUGGAAAGAAGGCAUUUCUACCUGCAUCUGUAGUGACGAUUGGAGAGGCAGGUAAGACAUGUUUGACUGGUCAACUCAUUCAUUCCUUCAACAGUGCUUACUGGGUACCAUAUACCACCAGAUGCUCUUAAAUUCAAUUCUGAACAGUGCUGUGGCACCAGGCAUGGCCUAAUGACCCUAACCUGGGAAUUCACAAAGUGAGAGCUGAGUUUGUAGUUCAAUCCUGCAAAGCAUGCUCUGAUCUCACUGGCCCUGGGGGUGGGGGGUGGGGGCAUGGAGUGGCAGUAUGGUGUGGCGAGGACUUCCCUGAGGAAGUAAUGUUUGAGUUGAAGGAGAGUGUGUGUGGAAAUCAGCCAGACUCAACUCUUGCCUUCUGUGUGGCUGUUUGGGGGUUAAAGAUGCCUCACACUUGGAAGACUGGCUGCUGCUCAUGCAAGUCCUGUUUCCCAUACCAGCAUGACCUCCUGAAGGUUAAGAUGGAAAUGACUUCCUGGAGUGAUAGGGAAGCCGGUGAAAAACCUGGAGGGGCCUCCUUCAAAAUUCAAUCUGCUUUGCAAAAAGUUGCCAGAUAAAAGAUAUUUCCAGAUGGAGGGCCACACAGGAAAUAACAAAUGGAAUAUUUUUUUUGAUGGUUCUUUGUGAGAUCUGAUUCGAGACUCCUCCUGCAAUAGCCUGAGAGUAUGGGGAGUGGAGAUGGCCCACUUCAGCCCUGCUGCCAUUGGAAAGGGACUGUGGCCUGACCAGGCUUUAAAAAUUAUUCAUGAUAACACCUACCUCGAAGACUUACAAUGUGUGUGAGAGGGGGGAGGGGCACCCAAGGGGACCCCACCCACCCAGAGGAAAAGGGGAGGGGGAAGGAGGAAGGAUUGUGGGAGGGGGUGAUCAGGAAGGAACAGUGAGUGCAUGUAAAGUGAGUAAGU
rnacentral:lncRNA from 1 species